AAGAGAGAAAUAAAAGUUUGCACCAAGGUUGAAUUAGUAUACAUGCAUUGAGUUGUUUGAUGGUUGUUGCCCAUAGUUGAGAUGGAAGUUGCUUUUCAUAUGUUCAGAAUUCUUUUGGUGUGAUUUGAUUCGAGCAUGCACGAUAUUUGAUCUUCAAUGUUUGAGCUUAGGACCCCUAAGAUCUUGCCUACAUCAUUGAUAGUCCUUAGCCCCAUUACAACCAAAGAAGAAAGACCUUUUUGAG
rnacentral:lncRNA from 1 species